CUUUGGUUGGAGAUCUCUCCCUUGUGGAGUUUGUCUUGUGAGCCUAGUUCUUCAGAGAUGGUUCUCCAGUUGGUCCCAAAGGCAACUUUUUCCGUAUUUGGUGCCUCCAAAGUUCCUUGAGAUGCUUGGAUGAAUUGUCCUAUGUUUUAGAAUCAUGGAAUUAUAGAAUCAUCAAGGUUGGAAAAGACUGCUAAGAUUACCUAUUCCAAGCAUCAACCCAUCAUCACCAUCCUCCACUAACCACGUCCCUCAGUGCCACAUGCUAACAUGUUUUUGCAUGCUAACGUAUUUAUGUGAGAUAAAAGUAAGAAAAGGUAGAUGUGAUCAACAAAUGAAACUUGGAGUUAAAACAUAUGUCUUGAAGGGUUAGUAGGAGUUGUCUGUAUGAAUUUCAGUACUAGGAUAUCUGUCAACAGUAGGGAGCACAAUUGCUUAUUAUAAUGAAGUUAUAACACCAUUUCAUAACAAUGCAGAGGUAUUGAGUGAAUGCAGAAGUCAAUGCAGAGAGAACAAAGAAAAUACAUACAGAAAAAAAUUGCUUUUAUGAAUAGUACUGUAGCUCACAAGUCACUGACCGUUCAAUCAUUAAAAUAAUAUUGAGCAAUGAUGUUGUAGAACUUCACACCAGAAUUAUAUUUUUCCCCAACAUUUUCAAACCUUUUUCUUGCAGAGAAUUUUGAUGUUGGAACUCAGUUCAGUGUUAAAGCACGUUAUAGUUUUAAUAAGCUAUGACAGAAUUUCCCAUUGUGAAAAAAUGUACUAUUAAUAUAAGAGUGUAAAGUGUCAGUGGGCAUAAAUAGGGCAACCAAGGCUAAUAAAUGGUUGUAAUAGGGUAUUGCAACUAUCUGCACUGAAAUUCAUCCUUUACAAUGGGAGAUUUAGAGAAAGGGCAGUUUGACCUCUCAGACUAUAUUUUUACAGCAGUUAGUUCUACAGCACACAUGAGGGAAAGUUACUCUGUCCUAUGUAAUAUACAAGUGUUGGUUCAAGAAGUAACUAUUGCUGAGCCACUAAUUAAUGGUGACCACAGCAUAAUUAAGUUCAACGUUCUCAAGGGAGUGAUUGAAGCAAAUACAGGACUGUGACACUAAACUUUUGAUAAUGAAUUUUUUUUCAAGGGGUAAGUUAGUUAGAAAACCCUAAAGUCAAAAGUGAGGAAAUUAAAAUCCUUACACUCAGCAUGGAGGCUUCUUAGGCAUCCCAGGAGUCACAGAGGAAUGAAUGCACCUUAACAAAAAUGAAAAUAGAAAGCCAAUUAAAAGCUAUAUAGUUAGAUUGCAAGGUUCAAGAUGUUAUUUAAGACAAAAUGGUAGCCUUUAGAAAAUAGUAAUCUAGUCUGAGUGAAAGAAAGGAGCAAAUAUUAUGGAAAAUGGGACUUAGAGAUGUAAAACAUAAGGCAUAGAGUGAGAAGUAACAGACAAAACCAAAAAUACGAACAAUAUAUUUAUAUGGAUCUUAGUUUGGAAUAGUGUGAGAAAAUUGAUGCUUUUUUUUGUUGUUGUUGUUAGGAAGUUAUGGAUAACACAGAUCUCAGAGAAGACCUUACAAUGUUUGUAUUAGGGCUCUUUUCAAAUAUGGCUAAGCUGUGUAUUAAAAGAUUUUAAUAAAAGGAAUUCACUGUUCAUGCAAUAAAUUGAUAAAC
ensembl:lncRNA